UCUUUGGGCCAGGAACCCAGGCGCCCAGAACCCCACACCGUCGGCUCUGGGUCCCGGGCACUGGCCGGGCGGGCCCAGAGCGCGGCGGGCAGCAGGAUCCACGGGGUAGCUGGGUCCGUGCGGCGCAGUUGCCGAGUCCCGCGGGCGCCGGGAAAAGAGGCGGGGCGGCGGGGUUGAGGGCGGAGCGGCGGCCGCGACCGUGAGCCCGCCCCCCGCUCGCCCUCCACCGGCCCGCUGGCGCGGCCAUGGAGGUCUACAUCCCGUCUUUUCGCUACGAGGAGAGUGACCUGGAGCGGGGAUACACGGUGUUUAAGAUAGAAGUGCUAAUGAAUGGAAGAAAACAUUUUGUUGAAAAAAGGUACAGCGAAUUUCAUGCCCUGCACAAAAAGCUUAAAAAAUGUAUUAAAACUCCAGAAAUCCCCUCUAAACAUGUUCGGAACUGGGUCCCAAAAGUCUUGGAACAACGACGACAAGGUUUGGAAACAUAUUUACAGGCUGUCAUUCUAGAAAAUGAAGAACUCCCCAAACUGUUUCUUGACUUCCUAAACGUGCGACAUUUGCCCUCUCUACCAAAGGCAGAGAGUUGUGGAUCUUUUGAUGAGACAGAAUCUGAAGAGUCAAGCAAACUGUCCCACCAGCCGGUGCUGCUGUUCCUCAGGGAUCCAUACGUCUUGCCUGCAGCCAGCGGUAAUCAAACCUGUCAUCUGCUAACAGCUCUUUACUGAUCUGACCCUGCACCACAUAAACCACGUUUUUAAUACAGGUCUAACAGAGUGACAUUGGUCCGGGGCUUAAUAAUCUGCCAAUAAACCAGUGCUCUUGGUGUAAGAGACAUUCAGAAUUUUAAUUGGGGCAGGCCUUUCAGGAGGAAAUGUAAUUUUUUCUUUCUCUCUUGCCAGGCUGUUUUAAAUUAGAGUAAUAAGGGGGAAAGGUAUUUAUUGUCCUUAAUUUUUUUUGGUGGUGUUAUUUUGACCUCUGUUGGGUAAUUUUUUUUUUUUUUAACAGAUGCUAGGGUUUGAAUUCAAGGCCCUGGCCCUUUUUAAAAAUGUUUCUUCCCCAAAGCUGUGUCUACAGUGCAUGGGUAUCUCCAUUUAGAUUACAGCAUCUUUGAUGGUCAAAUAUACAUUUUAAAAAGUUGUAUAUUUAAGUAUAAUGAAUUAAUUUAAGUAUAACUUUAAUUCAGUAUUUUAGCCUGAGUCCUUUUUUUGUGCCAAGAAAUUCAUAUUAUUCAGAGUCCCUCUCAAAGUGUUCUGAGUAGAUUCUCAGACGUUAUCUCAUUUAAUUUCCUUAACAACCUCAUGAAAUAGGCAGGGCAGGCAUCAUCAUUCGCACUUGAGAAAACUGGGGCUCAGGGGGAUCCCUGACUUGCCCAGGUUCACAUGUGUGGUGGGCGGAUCCCGUUUUGCCCAAUUUCUCCUUUCCAUACAGUGAAUUUUCAGCCUUUGUUUCAGAGAGUAACCAGAGCAUAGUAAAUAAAUAGCAAUAGGUAAAUUACCUAUUGAAACCAUUCCUCCAUUCUGAUAAUAAACAGUUAUCACCAGCAAGAGAGAGGGGACUGUUCUCUGUGGCAGGGAUGCUGGUACUCAUGUCACCCGCUUAGCUGUCAGUUUAAAGGAUGCUGGCUAGGGCACAGCCCUGCUCUGUUGAGGGACUGUUCUAGCAGAGAAAGCUGCCUUUGCUGUACACAAAUAAGGUCUCAUAGUAUUUUCCCUAUAGAAUCCUUUCAGUGAGGAGUAAUUAUCUAUCUUUAGCAUUUGCUUCCCAUCUAACAAAUAGGGAUUGUGUAUUAGUUGAUACUAUGUUAACAAGAUGUUACACGUAACAAAUAUCAUUUUACCUAGUCUAGAUUAAAUUGGCAGUGUUUUAUAAAGUAUUUGUACUAGGUUUUAAAAAUGGUUCCACAAGUACUUUUUCCAGGUACUGUUUGUGCUCCGAUAGUUCAUGCAUUUGACUGAAAUCCUGCAAAAGUGUAGAGUGGAAUGAUCAUUGUGGACUGGAAUGGCCAGGAUGCUUUAUGGAGGAGGGAAUAUAUUUUAUGAUCCUUAAAUCUGAUGCAUCCAGCUUAUUAAGGAGCAUGUGCUAUGUACCUGGCUUGAUGAUGAAGGACAGGAGGAACUUUCUGAGAAGGCGCAUCAGGGCAAAUGUCUGGAGUUGGAAAGAGGAAGUAUGGAUCAUUGGUAGAAUGUUGAUGCAGCUGAAUGACUUGCACAGAGAGGGGAUUCCUGUUUGAGAGUAAAUGAAAGUCAUGGGAUUGAUGGACAGGAUGCAACCGGAUUUUCCCAAUGUGGUUAUUGAAGGAGUUCUCCAUGGGAUAUUUUACCCUCAUCUACAGCCCAGGUAGAAACCCUUCCAUGGCUAGAAGAAGCUGAGGCAAGUUUCGAAGGCACAGUGAAGGAAAUCGAUACCUACCAAAUUAACCCAAACUCUCUGACAUAACUGCUCUCGCUAGUGGUGAAAUUCACAGCCCCAGCUUAAUUCAAGGCAGGGACAUUUCCAUUAGAAUGGUGCUUUAAAAAUAGAAACUGAACCUGGACAGUGCUGAAGGUUAAGGCCAAGUGUUUUAAGAAGUAGAAUGUAGCUGCCAAUUUAGAAACACAGGAGAAGGAGGCGGAAGAGGAUCCUGAGGGAUAUAGGGGUAACAGAUCAGUUCCUCCCUACUGCAGUCGCACCAUUUGCUGAUUGAAAAUCUUAUCCUGAAUCAAGAUGAGACUGAUCAACUUUGGUAGCUUUUUGGUUUAGAUUUUAUGACACACUAAUCUUUUCUUCAUGAGCUUUUUCUCAGCCAGUAUGGAUACAUUCUGAAGUGCUGGCACCAGGAUACUAUCACAGAAGCACACUGCGCUAAACAUCAGGAAGGAACUAAACUGGAAAUUAAAUUUUACUUGCAAUAUUAGGGCAUUUUUUAAAAUUACGGCAUUUUUAUCUAUGUUAUAGUGGAGUUGCAUCAUAUCUAGGGGUUAGCUUCUAAUUUCAGCACUUAAGAUAAAAUGGUACUGUCAGGAUUGUCCUUGAAAGCCCUUUAGACUGACGCCAUUUUGAAAAUCUCUAUCCACUACAACCAGUUUUCCUCUAGUGUUUGAAGAGAUGACUGUUUCUUCAGUUGAAGACCAAUGGAAGUUGUUGAUAUGUGUUUAGGGACUAUUUUGUAUAAAAAACACAUACCUUUAAACACUAGAAUUACAUUUAGCCUUGCAAGAUGCUUGUCCUCUAAGAGACAGAUGAGAACUCAGUGACUAAGGGAACAUCAGAUUGACAACACUCAUCUUGGUUUACUUGAGGACAUCCAUUCAUUGACGAGGUGGUACUACCAUGGGAUUUAUUGUUAUUUUCCUUACUCCUCAUCAUUUCCUUUUCACUGACCUCAUAUACUGAAUUAAUGUAGAUUAAAUGUGUUUGUGAUGUAACUCCACAAUACAUCUUAUAUUCAUAUUAUGAGUAGUAAAAGUUGAAAGCAUAUAUGCAACCUGUAUGUGUGUGCUGUAUUUGGGCAUUUUCUUGAAAACCAAUUAAUAGCUAGCUUAUUUAUGAUUAUCAGUUUAAGAAGCUUCUUGUGGGAGAAGAAAUUUAGAUUUAAAACAACUAAAUCAUGAUUUUUGAUUAAGAUCUAAAUAUAGAAGUUUAAAGCUUGCUGAAAACUCUUAGAGAUAUAUUUAUGAUAGAUGUGUUACUCUAUGCUGAAAACAAGCAAAAACUAAAUAAUCAAGUGUCAUCAACCAAAAAUGACUGAAUAGUCAAGUGUUGGAGAUAUUUUUAGAUGUUUUUGUUAUUAGCUAUUUUGAGUUCAAUAAAAACAAAGAACAAGAAUUAUUUGAA